AAAAGAUGAACUCAGUCUAAGAACGCCACGUCCUGUGGAGACGACUGAGUGACCAACAUCUUGCUGG
rnacentral:sRNA from 1 species